rnacentral:rRNA from 1 species
AGAAACUAACAAGGAUUCCCCUAGUAACUGCGAGUGAAGCGGGAAAAGCUCAAAUUUAAAAUCCUUCGGGAGUUGUAAUCUGUAGAAGUGUUUUCGGUCGUUGCCUCGGAUAAGUCUCUUGGAACAGAGUGUCAUAGAGGGUGAGAAUCCCGUCCUUGCCGAGCUCCCAGCGUCCUUGUGAUACACUUUCAACGAGUCGAGUUGUUUGGGAAUGCAGCUCAAAAUGGGUGGUAAACUCCAUCUAAAGCUAAAUAUUGGCGAGAGACCGAUAGCGAACAAGUACCGUGAGGGAAAGAUGAAAAGAACUUUGGAAAGAGAGUUAAACAGUACGUGAAAUUGUUAAAAGGGAAACGCUUGGAGUCAGUCGCGUUGCAGGGACUCAGCCUCACGGUGUACUUUUCUGCAACGGGUCAACAUCAGUUUCGGCCGCGGGAUAAGAGUCGGGGGAAUGUGGCUCUCUCGGGAGUGUUAUAGCCUCUGGCUGUACACCGCGGCGGGGACUGAGGUCUGCUUAAAGGAUGUUGACGAAAUGGCUCUAAGCGACCC